rnacentral:rRNA from 1 species
AUUGAACGCUGGCGGCAGGCCUAACACAUGCAAGUCGAACGAGCGGCGGACGGGUGAGUAAUGUCUGGGAAACUGCCCGAUGGAGGGGGAUAACUACUGGAAACGGUAGCUAAUACCGCAUACCAUCGGAUGUACCCAUAUGGGAUUAGCUUGUAGGUGAGGUAACGGCUCACCUAGGCGACGAUCCCUAGCUGGGCUGAGAGGAUGAGCAGCCAAACGGGAACUGAGACACGGUCCAGACUCCUACGGGAGGCAGCAGUGGGGAAUAUUGCACAAGGGGCGCAAGCCUGAUGCAGCCAUGCCGCGUGUAUGAAGAAGGCCCUAGGGUUGUAAAGUACUUUCAGCCGGGAGGCGUUACCGGCAGAAGAAGCACCGGCUAACUCCGUGCCAGCAGCCGCGGUAAUAC